AGUGCAAGAGACGAUGUCUAGACAUGGACAUCAGAAACUCUAUGGAUAGGAGAAUGACAGUUAUGACUAAUGUCUAAAUGGGAAUCUCUCUGAUGCACU
rfam:Brassica oleracea var. oleracea cultivar TO1000 chromosome C8, whole genome shotgun sequence